rnacentral:lncRNA from 1 species
CCAGGCCGAGGGGCGGGGGCGUCCCCGGGCCCUGGCGCGGCGCCUGGAGCUCCUGCUGCUGGAAGCGCCAUGUGACCGUGACUCUGCACAAGCCGGGAACGCGGAGAAACAAAGGGCGGCUCAGCGGCCACCGGGCGCUCAGGCUGGCACGGAGGGCCCGGCCCCAACCCCAACCGGGGCCCCGCACUCUUGUCCCUACGGACCCUCGGUGCCCAGGGCGAGCAGGGAGGCGCCGGAUCCUGCUGAGGCCCGGGGCGGGGAGCGCGGCCUCCCAGGGAGCUGGGGAGGGAGGGCAGGCCUGAGGACGCUGAAAUGCAAGUGCGAGGCGGGGUGGGCGAUGUCGGGUCCGGGCUGGGCCGUGGAGUGUUGCAGGUUCCUUCCUCACGGCUGGCUCUGGCAAAUGACCCUCCCUGAACCUCUGUUUCUGUAAUAGAGGUGAAGAUAAUCGUCCCCACGCAAUUAUCCUAGGGUUAGGAGGCUUAAGGGAGGCGUCCCAUGUAGAGCGGUGAGGACAGCACAGGGUUGUCGGGCCGCAUUCUAGCUCCUCUCCCACAUAAACAUGCACAGGAUUUCGGGUCACUGAGCUGCCACUUUCCAGUCACAGCAGGGAUGUAGUUCCGGCCAGAGCACCAGGAAGAGGAGCAGGAUGGGGCAGCUGGCACAGGGCGGAGCCAGGGUGGGCACCGCUGCGUAUAUGGAGAGGGGAUUAGCACUGGGGCUCUAGCAGAAGCGGGGAGAUAGGAAAUCCCAAGACAGCCUGGUUAUCCGGCCCUGGCUCUCUCCCGGCCCUGGAUGGGAGUGGCUUGUCUCCUAGUCACUUUCCCCAGCCCAGGGGGAACAAAGGGGCUGGAGAGGGUGGGGGCCCACCUUGGAGUGGGCCUCAGGGUACAUUGAGACUCCUGCCUCCGCACCAGAUUUGCAGGUUUGACUUCUCCUGAGGAAGCCUCCACCCUAUGGCCACAAGGCCCUAGGGCCUGUAUUUACAGAGUUCUGAAUUUACCUGGCCCUAAAACCACGUGGCCUGUGCAUGCAUAAUAGAGGCCACAGCACAGAGCUCUUGAGGUAGUGGCCCAGUGGGGACUCUGGGCUUGGUCCCAGCUGGGGGACUGACGUUAAGGAUCUAGCCUCCGUUCCUUCCCUGCCUGGGGAAAAAGAGAAGAGGAGCAGUCCAGGCACUGGCGACAGCCUGUAAUAAGAGGCCCUGAGUGCCACCAAGAGCAUGGUUGGAGAGUGACUCAGCCUCGUUGGUGCCUCCUCAGCAUGCAGGACAGGACCAACUGCUGCUACUGCCCACUAUUGUGUAUCCAGGACCUGGAAUACGCUGGCUCCACUUCCUGCUUCCUCAUUCUGCUCAAGGUGUCACCAUGCUUACGGUCGAGGACACCGAUCUGGGCCCGGGAUCUCACCUGACUCUCUCCAGGCUCCCCAAGGACCAAAGCUCUAUUGUGGGAUCAAGGCCCCAUCUGCCUUCCUGGAGUUCCAACCAUGGCCUGCUGCCAAGUCCUGCUCCCCACCACCCUCCAUUGCCUUGUUCCCCCUGGAUUUCCACCACAGGUAACGGUGUGAAGUCAGGGUGAACUUAAUUGGGGUGAAGGAUGACUGCUGCAUUAAAUUGGAUGGAACUGGUCUGUUCAACCACUGCCCAUUAAAAAUGGUGGCCUUUCUUUAACAUAGCCAUAAUGAGACCAUCCCUCCAGAGAAAAGUGCUAAUAGAAUCACCCGCCUUGAAUGCUUAACUCUUACUCAAUGCCUUGACCUGGACGUCUGAUAGACAUGGCCCACAUACUAUCUAAAAUCAAACCUUUUCUUCCCCCCAAACCUGCUCAUUCCACAGCGUUCCCUAGCUCAGUAAAAGACUACAUGGCACCUUCGUUCUUUCAGUGCUCAGACCAAAACCAGUUUAAGGUCUCCUUUGAUGUGUUUCCUUUACUCACACUCUACAGUAAAUAUAUCAGUAAAUCCUUCAUUGGCUCUACCUUCAAAAUAUAUCCACCACUUCCCCUGCUGCCACUGUUCCUAGCCACUGAAGUCUUGACCAUGACCUCCCAGGCUCCAUGUCAUCUGGCCCACUGCCACCUCCCUGGUCUCAUCUCCUGCCACUCUGCCUACUUUGCUCCUGCUGCACUGGCCUUCUUGCUGGUCCUCAGGCACCACAGCCCACUCUUGCCUCGAGGCCUUUGCCCUGCUGUCCUCUCACUUGGAAUUUUCUCCCCGGGCACUCACAAUGCUGGCUUUCUCAUUUUCUUGUGGUCCCUGCCCAGAUGUCACUUCCUCAGUGAGACCUCCAGACCACCCUAUUUAAGGUAAACCCUCCCACAUUCAAUACUCCCACACGCUAGAUCCCUCUUUGCGUUUUUUUUGUUGUUGUACUUAUCACGACUUGGCAUAUCAUCUGUGUACACAUAUAAAAAUAAAAUAUUACAUAUUU